GGUUUGUUCAGUGGUUAGAACAUUGGCCUGCAGACCAAAGGGUCUCAGGUUCAAUUCCUGGCCA
rfam:Myotis lucifugus cont2.29436, whole genome shotgun sequence.